AGUGAACGCUGGCGGUAGGCCUAACACAUGCAAGUCGAACGGCAGCACAGUAAAAGCUUGCUCUUACGGGUGGCGAGUGGCGGACGGGUGAGGAAUACAUCGGAAUCUACUUUUUCGUGGGGGAUAACGUAGGGAAACUUACGCUAAUACCGCAUCCGCCCUACGGGUGAAAGCAGGGGAUCUUCGGACCUUGCGCGAUUGAAUGAGCCGAUGUCGGAUUAGCUAGUUGGCGGGGUAAAGGCCCACCAAGGCGACGAUCCGUAGCUGGUCUGAGAGGAUGAUCAGCCACACUGGAACUGAGACACGGUCCAGACUCCUACGGGAGGCAGCAGUGGGGAAUAUUGGACAAUGGGCGCAAGCCUGAUCCAGCCAUACCGCGUGGGUGAAGAAGGCCUUCGGGUUGUAAAGCCCUUUUGUUGGGAAAGAAAAGCAGCAGGUUAAUACCCCGCUGUUCUGACGGUACCCAAAGAAUAAGCACCGGCUAACUUCGUG
rnacentral:rRNA from 1 species